GACGAACGCUGGCGGCGUGCUUAACACAUGCAAGUCGAACGGAAAGUCCCUGCUUUUGUGGGGUCCGCUAGUUGCGAACGGGUGAGUAACACGUGAGUAACCUGCCCUUGACUGUGGGGUAACUUCAUGAAACUGGGGCUAAUACCGCCUAGGAGUUCCUGCUGCAUGGUGGGGGUGGGUAAGUUUAGGUGGUUGGGGAUGGAAUCGCGGCUUAUCAGCUUGUUGGUGGGGUAGUGGAUUACCAAGGCUUGGACCGGUGGCCGGGCUGAGAGGGUAACCGGCCACACUGGACCUGAGAUGCGACACAGCCUAGUACGGGACGCAGGGGUGGGGAAUAUUGCAUAAUGGGAUGAAGCCUGAUGCAGCAACGCAGCGUGGGGGAAGACGGCAUUGGGGUUGUAAUCCGAUUUCGCUUGUGACGAAACGUGAGUGACGGUACUGGGUAAAGAAGCACCGGCUAACUACGUG
rnacentral:rRNA from 1 species